AGCAUAUCAAUAAGCGGAGGAAAAGAAACCAACAGGGAUUGCCCUAGUAACGGCGAGUGAAGCGGCAACAGCUCAAAUUUGAAAUCUGGCCUCCUUGGAGGUCCGAGUUGUAAUUUGUAGAGGGCGCUUUGGCGUCGGCAGCGGUCUAAGUUCCUUGGAACAGGACGUCACAGAGGGUGAGAAUCCCGUACGUGGUCGCCUGCCUUCGCCGUGUAAAGCCCCUUCGACGAGUCGAGUUGUUUGGGAAUGCAGCUCUAAAUGGGAGGUAAAUUUCUUCUAAAGCUAAAUACUGGCCAGAGACCGAUAGCGCACAAGUAGAGUGAUCGAAAGAUGAAAAGCACUUUGGAAAGAGAGUCAAACAGCACGUGAAAUUGUUGAAAGGGAAGCGCUUGCCGCCAGACUUGCCCGUGGUGGUUUUCCUCCGCGGGCAGGCCAGCAUCAGUUUGGGCGAUCGGAUAAUGGCCUCUGUCAUGUAUCUUCCUUCGGGAUGACCUUAUAGGGGAGGUGUAGUACGAUCAGCCCGGACUGAGGUCCGCGCAUCUGCUAGGAUGCUGGCGUAAUGGCUGCAAGCGGCCCGUCUUGAAACACGGACCAAGGAGUCUAACAUCUAUGCGAGUGUUUGGGUGUCAAGCCCGAGCGCGUAAUGAAAGUGAACGGAGGUGGGAACCCUCUCUGGGGGUGCACCAUCGACCGAUCCUGAUGUCUUCGGAUGGAUUUGAGUAAGAGCAUGGCUGUUGGGACCCGAAAGAUGGUGAACUAUGCUUGAAUAGGGUGAAGCCAGAGGAAACUCUGGUGGAGGCUCGCAGCGGUUCUGACGUGCAAAUCGAUCGUCAAAUUUGGGCAUAGGGGCGAAAGACUAAUCGAACUAUCUAGUAGCUGG
rnacentral:rRNA from 1 species